GCAUUGGUGGUUCAAUGGUAGAAUUCUCAUCUCCUAUUGGGGAGACCCAGGUUCAAUUCCCAGCCAAUUCA
rnacentral:tRNA from 1 species